CCCCCGCGGAGGAGCCGCGGCCCGCUCAUGGCCCGGCGGGGGCUGCGCGGCGGCCCCGGCCCAUGGGACGCCGAGAGAGGAGGAGGGAGCGGAGCGGAGCGAGAGCGCUGCGUCCGGGAGCGGAGCCCGAGCGCCGCGGCCGAUCCCGCACGGCGCGGCGGAGCCGUGUGCGCUGCGUGCUCCGCGGAGAGGCAGCGGGAGGGUGGCUCUGGUGGGAGGAGCAGGAGCGGAACCCAACGCGCUCCUCUCUCGCCUGCCCGCUGCAAACCGCUGGGGAGAGCAAAGCCGCGCUGCCGCCGGGAGGGGGAACGGCUGACGAUCAGGUUGCUCGGCAGGACGUGCGCUGCUGGCUCGGGGCGAGGGCGGCCGGUCCCGGCGGUCGCAUUAACGUGGACGUGAUGAAGGAGAAGACGCCCCGGGAGGGAGGGAAGGAGGGCGGGCGGUCUGAGCGGAGGCAGAGUUUGGAGGUGCGGAUACGCCGCCAGUGCGCGCUAACAGCGCGCAGCCGUGCCCGGCCGGCGCAAAGCCCGCGGCACCCAAGUAGUUCAAAAGCAGCACUUCUGCGCUCGCACGCAUUCGUGCAACAGGGGCGAUGGGCUUAGAGUCGCAGAGCCACCAACUCGGCAUCGUGGCCGUGCUUUUCGCCUUCCAACCUGCUCGGGCACCUCGUGCCACCCCGCUCCCCUGCUCUGUCCCCUGCCCGUUCCGCAGCCCCCUGCACACCUUUGCGCAACGCUCUGGGAAUGCAUCGCCUGCUUUCUGAAGCACUGAUUUCACUGGGUUUCUCACAGUCUGUGUAACAUCUACGGUAAUGCAGCCCCAGCCCCGGCCAGUCUGGGUAGCGCUACUCAGUAACGAUAGAGAGCAGCAUGCAGUCUGCUGCUUCCUCAGGUCUCGCUUGGAAAGCAAGAGGAAAGCAGGACAGAAGAUUUAUCUGGGACACCGAGCACAGCCCCAGGUAACCUCAGGAACCAGACGCACACACGAAGUUGGUGCUGCCAUCAAGAUUCAUUCCUCAGGCAAAGGAGAAAGAAGAGGGGUGUGGUUUCUUGACCAACUGAAAUCCAAGCUGCUGACACCCAGCGCAGCCCUCCAGCUGCAGGCUCACUGCCCUCCCGGUGUGCGCAGGCAGAGUCGGCCUUUUGUCACACAGCAGGACCAGGGGACUCGCAUUCCUCAGGGUCAGGGAGACUGGAAGUCUGUAAGGGUGGACCGGUGGAAUGGAAAGCAGGUGGCCCUGCUGCCUGAAUUACUUACACCUGAGUUGCCCCUAGCUCACGUUUGCAAACUGAAUAAAUCUCAGAUCAGUGUUGUAUUUUAAAAUGGCAUCAGUCUGAGGGAAAAGAAGGGAAAAGAAGAAAAGGAAAAAAAGAAAAGAAAAAUACUGUUUGGAAGGCUUGGCUCGUGACUCAACACCUCAGACAAGGAAGUUACAAAGGGGAUUGUCUUUCUCGUGGACAACAUCCUUCUCUUCCCUCCCUUUUCUUGCUGUGUGACCGCCAUCCUGCUUCCACAGACAGCGUGCUGAAAUGUUGGCACCUUCGUGUCAUCGUCCUCUUCCUCCUCCUCCUUCCUGGAUCAAUUAGGAAACCAGUUUUUCCUCUUCUCUGCUCCUGUCGUUCCUUCUCUUUUUGAGAUGGAAAAGUAAAUGCUUAUGGUGAAGCAAUCCCUGUUUGCUGGCACUGGAUGCAUGGGCUCAUUUCUGUAAAAACAACCUCCCCGUGUUUCUUGAAGCUCUAUGCAAGCCAUGUUACCCAGAGUCACUCUGUGAUCUCUCUGAGCUUCAUGUGUAUGCUGUUAUCUGGCUUUUGUCCCUGCUGCUGGCACUGCUUCUGUUGGGGUAGAACUCACUACGCUUGGAAGUACUUCUUUAGGAUAAGGAAUCUGAUUUGAAAACAGGAAAUAGAGUGCAAAAUUCAGGUAUGUGUGUGAUGAAUUUGUGCUGAUCCCAACGCUGUGCACUCCUGUUAUGGAAUUCAGUUGCAUGCAGUUUUACCACAUGGGCAGUGAGAAGUGGAGGCUUUGCUCACAAACUCAUUUCAUGGCUGCUUUCAGACAUCAGACACAAAGCAUUUUUCUUCCUUGCUCGCUUUCGAACUCCAUGCCUUCCCGCUUUGAUGUCCUCAGCUUUAACCACGUUUCUUUUCCGUUCUAUUUUGCAUCUUCUCUCAUUUGUCUCAAAGUGCAAGCCCUGAAUUACAGCAAACUUUUUUCUUCUCCUUCCAAGUGUUCCCACUGAACUAACACGUGUCUGGGGAACUUGGGGUUGUUCCUCUGGGCUUCGCACAUGCGGAACAUUUAUAUAACAACAAUAAUAGCAUCAUUAUUUGUAUAAGACCGCAUAAUUAGCUUGCAUAUUUAAUUACACUAUAUUGGAUUAUCCUUAUCAAAAGUUUCUAUUCAUCUCCUCGGCGUUAUUACUGGGAAUGAACUCACCAACACACGUAAUCGCAUUAUGGGUAAGCCAUUGUAUUCGUUCUAAUCCAGGAAUUUGAGCAGGUCGGGGCUGGGAUGGACUGCACUGAUUGUGGAGAGAAACUCAAUGUUGGUUCUCACUGCUGCUGAUGGGAGGGGAGGUGGAGCUGAAAGCUGAGGUUUGGGUAUGAGAGAGCGUUGUUGCUUCUGGAGAUGGCUGCAGUAACUAAGCAGUGGUCUUUGGGUUUGUAACAUCGGGCUCUCAUGCUGAAUUCCUCCACUGUGUGAGGUGGGCAAAGCUCGGCCCUUCACAGCACAGCACUUGGGAGCACUCCACAAAACGAGAGCUCCGUGGGGUACUUCUUUGUUAUUACCCUGAGAGCACAGUGUUGGGUUCACAGCACUGAAACGUUUGUAGCCUAAUGUUCAUCACACAGCUAUUUUCAGCCUGAAUGUGGCCCCGUGCUGUAUCUGAUGUGUUGGUACCUGUGUGUGUAAAUGCAGUGGGGAGCAGUAAUGUCGUUAUACUUUCUAUAAGAAACACAUUUCUAUGGCAUAGGUAUCAGGUGAAUAUUUUUUGACACAGGACCACUUUUAGAUCCAUGUAUUACCAAAGCUGCCCGAGCAAAACUGACGUUAAUUUUGCGCUGCUAAAUUGUUCUGCAUACUCUUGAUUUAGCUGAGACUUUUGGCAUAAACUCGGGCACUUCUUUCCCUGGAAAAAACGCAUGCUGAGCACCCAGAAGCCCCGGCUCAGGGCUGUGGGAGCUGAGAACGCUGAGAACAACUCGCUCUGGGUUGUGAGUAGCGCGCAUAGCACUGCAGCAGCUCCGUGCCUCGGAAAUCCUGCCCGCUGGCAAUGCUUCCUUGCACUGCGUGCUCUUUGCUACACGGAGCGCCAUCAGAUUAUCGGGGUUCUUUUAGCUUGUAUUUCUGUGUUCUGGAGUGUUUUAGCUCUCUGCUGUUUGUAUUUACUAAAGGCAGAUUUUAAUUUUUUGAAUUGUCUGUGUAUGAAAAGCAUAUAAACCUAUUCCAUGUUUUCAAAGCGAACAAAAGCAAUAGCUGAUGCUGUGAAAUGCAACGAGACAAAUUCAGAUGGCUUUACUUUUUUUCUCCAGGCAGGUGCGGGGUAACGCCUCAAAAGAACCUUUAUUUUGUGCCUUUAUUCCAACGGGCGCAUAAAUGCUUGCAUAACCCUUGCACAGCUGCUGCACAAACUGCUCAUGCCACAAGUAUUAGUAAUCCUAGCAGGGGAGGUUGCAUGGAAAACUGGGGUGUGUAUGCUAAACCAUAUGUACCGUGCCCCUGAAUCAUAAAACUUCUGCUGCUGGAGCGGAGAGAUUUUUGGAGACCGGUCAGAGAGAACGCAAGAUUGUAACAGCCGCACCCCGAGCCUUCUCUUCUGUCGAGGCUUAUCGUACUUGCGCGUUUAAAUAAGCAGGAAACAGCGCUGGGUCCGACGUUCUCGUAGCGCAGUCCCAGCCGCUGCCCGCCGUCCCGCGCCGCUGCCGUCGGGGCGCCGAUCUCCGCCGUUCCAUCGGACGGGGCGGCUCGGAGCUGCGCCCGGGACCCCGCGCUCACAGCGCUCUGCCCGAGCGUUUCCAAAUCGUACGGAGGCACCGUUUCCUCUGCUGGCGUACGCUGGCAUAGCAGCAGCAGCAGCAGCAGCAGCACGCUGACUCGCAGCCCGCAGGAGCCCACCUGGGUGGCUGCGCUGAGCUCCUGGGACCGCGGCCGCUCCUUUUGUGGCGGAUCCGUCAGUCGGAGCGCAGCGCUAUCAGCGGUUACCUCGCGGAGACUGGAGCUUCUAAGUUUUCAGUCGGAACCUUUUUGCUCGCUCAGCGGUGCUUGGCGCGCACUGAGGCCGCUUUGUCAAGUGCAUCCUUUCAGCAUUCAUCCAAAGCCUUUCUCUGCGGUCGUCUGAGCCCCAUAGGCAAAUAUAUACUGUUGGGCUAUUAAGAUAAUUUUUCAGUUAAGACAUCGCCGAACUGCAAGCGGGACAAUAGAAACAAACCCCCUUUUGUUCCCACUAAACUGUUCCUAAUGACCCCCUCCGCAAACAGCGGCCCCGGCCGAGCCCCAACAACGGCCCUCUGUCCCCUCCGCUGUGCUUUGCCGGGCGGCAGCGGGAGCGAGCCGCUGCUGGUGCAGUGCGAGGCGACCAAAGCGAUCGCUUCGAUGUGCGUUUCCACAAUGAGCGUCCUGUACUGAGCGCUGGGCGUUCGAUUGUCGGGAAAGCGGCAGAAGGAAACGGUUUGCUUAAAUCGAGGGCCUGUGGGGUGAUUCUUAUGAGUUCCAUGCGAAAGUUUAAUUAAUUAAUUGUUUGAGGUCAGUUGAAUUAUCUGCUUAGCUCGUAUGAGAACUAUGCGACCGUAAAAUCCUGAGAAUUUAGGAUUUACACACGCCAGUAAAAUCCCUUGCAUUUGUUUUUGGGGUAAGAGUCACCUUUGGGGGUUAUGGUGCUUAUGUGGGUGGGAAAGCUCUGUGCAGGGCAGGGUUCUGCCCUUGUUGCCCAGAGAAAAGGGAGUUGUGGUGCUAAAUCGAACCCACUACAGAUGAAACCCACGUCGCUGUGUCUCAGUCAGUGCCGGCACUGAAGAUAACUGUCACAGUGUGUCUGAGCACGGCCAUGGAAAUUAUGAAUCGCUUCCUGAUUAGUUCUGCCCCUAUUUCUGUGCCCUGAAUGCAUGAGAACAAUAGCAUGGGGGACCUUCCAUUUAAACAAAAUCCUAUUUACAGAGCAUCUUCAUUGUAUGUAAUUAGGAAGUGUUGAUGGGUCAGACAGCAAAAGUCCUUAAUUUGGGUAGUUCGGGAAUUGCACUGAUUACAUUUGCAAAUAGAAAUGUCAUUUUCUUCUGGGAGAAACCAGGGUUUGUGUUCCAGCAUCUGACUUACAGGGGGAUUUCCAGCUUAACGGGGUGGUUAGAAACAGAUAGGAAGAGAUGGAAGGAGAGAAAACAUCCACGAAGGCAGGGACCACAUAUUCUGAGUAAAGGUUAAACCAUGGAAACAAUUCCUCCUGCAGCAGUCGGAGCACCUUCAGGUCCCCAUGGCAUCCCAGGGGCUGUGGGCUCACCUGGUGGUGCUCUCUUCUUUGGGCAUGGCCCGUAUUCUUCCUCCAUAAGGGAUUUGGGAGGGAGGUUUUGGUGCAUCCUGGAAAAAAGGGAGCAUUUGGGUAAGAGCAAUGAAAGCCCAGUGACAGGACAGGGGAGGAAGGGAAACGUCAGAGGAAACUUUAGGAAAUUUCCAGUCAAAACAAAAGGAUCUUUGUGAAAGAUACAGUUGGCAGUCUGGUGGGAGGAAUGGGGAUGUAAAAUGAAUGGAGAGGAUUUGCAAGUUGUGCAGAAUUGUUCUCAGCCCUGAGGCGAGGACGAAAAGCAGAGCCUUGCUAUUGACUAUAUUUGGUGUGUAUGGAGGAGCAGCUUGGACAUGGAGGGUGCUAAUGAAACACACAGAGCGUAACUCGUGUCCCCACUGCACCACGGGCACAGAGAGCAGUGCUGCUCAAGGGCAGAGCUGAGGAAGAACAAGCAGGGCCUGACCUGGGAGAGCCAUCCUUUUCCACUGCAGCUCAGCACAGGUCCCUAAGCAUGUGCCCAUGUGCCAACGUGCUCCAUGAAGGCAGCUGUGUUGUUCUUAUUUGUACGUGUGUAAGCACUGUAUGGAGUGCUGUACAUCUGAUUUUCAGUUUUAAAUGUGGUAGCUGCCCAAACUGAGAGCGUGACACUAUGGUACAAUAUUAAUUUUGUCACAGCUUUCCUCAAAAGUCCUCGUUUUAGCAUUGUUUUUUGGAAAAAAAUCUUUAAAAAUGGCCAGCUUUCUGUGACUAAAACUUGCUGCCUUCAGCUCAAAGUCUUUUUGAACAAAAAAUCCCAAGAGGAUAGGCUGAGAAAUGGCCUUGUUUUCUGAAUCCGUUCACUGAAGCUUUUGGGAGUUAAUUGAUCAGAAUAAAUGAAGAGACAUAAUUCCAACGGUGCCAAAUGGCAGAUUUGAUGUAAGGAUUUGACCAGAAGCUCUCAUGUUCCUCAUCUUUAGGGGUCAUGUUAGGAAUAUCGUAAUUGUAAGUUGUGGGGAACAACAGUGCCAAGGAGGGCUUUUCUUCAGGCUCUCUUGUGAUUGCGUUACGGUAAUGAUGAGGAUCAUGGUAGCAUUGUGGACUUUCUAUUAACCUCAAUGCAAAUUCGCUGUCUCCUGAAUGCAGUGAAUGUGGUUAUCCACAAAUCUCCAAAGCCAAAGCGUGUUGCAUGGUGCCAUUGUCUUCCAUGCUGUCUCGAAAUUCAUUUUAGUGAUGUUAGUUGGUUUUUAUUCCAGUACGUGUAAAAGCUUAUUGUGAGCUUUCGGCUUCUAUUAGUGACAGGAAGGCACAAAUCUAUUGGUAUAAAGCAAAAGUGAUCUUUAGAACGUUCAGAUCUGCACUGGGAACCGGGCUGUUCAGAAACAAAAAAAUAUCUAGCAUACAAAAAACCGAAGGGUUUGGACAUUUGUUUUAGAUUUGUCACAGAACAAUUUAAAAAACAAAACAUGAAUAGAAAGAAUGAGCCAUCCCAGAAUAGCCAACAUCCAGUGGCUGGGGUAUUUACUUGGGCCCUGUCCAAGCAGCACUUUAUGGGAUUUGGAGCAGACGUUUGACAUCGUGUUUUCAACAUUAUUUUUGUCAGACUCAAAUUUGGGCUCUGGAAGUGGGUUGAAAAAGAGCUCAGUUGGAGGGAGCGUGGUGUAGGUGUGCCUCAGAGGGAGGGAAACUUCUUUAGCAGCAGGGCAGAGUGGCCGUGCAGAGAGCAGCCAGGCACCUGUUCUGCUGAGCGCAGGCGGUGCUGUGAACGCUGGGGUAUUUUGCUGCCUUUGGGAGUGAUUAAAGUAAGCAAUGUUCACGUUUGUUCUCUGGUCUUACACAGAACAGAUUUUUUUGUCAUGGAAAUAUCUGAACCUGAGGAAGUUUAUUUCUGUGGGAAUCGAUAUAACACUUUAUCAAAGGUGUAUUUUUCACAAACUGGCAUUUCCUGAUGGCAAGUCACUUUGCCCCUAAAUUCCCGACCAGUGUUCUGAGCUGAGAUGUAACUCUGCGCUGUACAAAUGCAAUUCACCUUCAGUAUUUCUGUAGGUUUAUGCAGAGACAACGAGUGAAAUGCUCUGGGGUAUUAAAGCUGCGUGUGUGCAGAAGAAACAAGCAGGGUCCAAUGCAAAAAGCUCUGGGUGACCUGAGUUCGAUGAAUACUGAAAUUAAUUGAAAUUCAGGACGGAGAAAAAAGUACAACAAACAGCUUACCGGGUCAAACUUACAGCUCUUCUCCUUUGCUUUGCAAACACAGAGCUUGCAGUCUGGCCCUUUCAUGCCUGUUCCCAAUCUCACCCUGACGCCCAGGCUCUGCUGGCCAUUCGUGCUCAGC